rnacentral:rRNA from 1 species
GAUGAACGCUGGCGGCGUGCCUAAUACGUGCAAGUCGAGCGAACAGACGAGGAGCUUACUCCUCUGACGUUAGCGGCGGACGGGUGAGUAACACGUGGAUAACCUACCUAUAAGACUGGGAUAACUUCGGGAAACCGGAGCUAAUACCGGAUAACAUGUUGAACCGCAUGGUUCAACAGUGAAAGACGGUCUUGCUGUCACUUAUAGAUGGAUCCGCGUCGCAUUAGCUAGUUGGUAAGGUAACGACUUACCAAGGCAACGAUGCGUAGCCGACCUGAGAGGGUGAUCGGCCACACUGGAACUGAGACACGGUCCAGACUCCUACGGGAGGCAGCAGUAGGGAAUCUUCCGCAAUGGGCGAAAGCCUGACGGAGCAACGCCGCGUGAGUGAAGAAGGUCUUCGGAUCGUAAAACUCUGUUAUUAGGGAAGAACAAAUGUGUAAGUAACUAUGCACGUCUUGACGGUACCUAAUCAGAAAGCCACGGCUAACUACGUG